UACGAGAGGCCCAAACGUUAUUCGGAAUUACUGGGCGUAAAGCGUGCGCAGGCGGUUCGUUAUGUCCGAUGUGAAAGCCCCGAGCUCAACUUGGGAAUGGCAUUGGAAACUGGGGGACUUGAGUGCAGAAGAGGAAAGCGGAAUUCCACGUGUAGCGGUGAAAUGCGUAGAGAUGUGGAGGAACACCAGUGGCGAAGGCGGCUUUCUGGUCUGUAACUGACGCUGAGGCGCGAAAGCGUGGGGAGCAAACAGG
rnacentral:rRNA from 1 species